CCCCUCUCAGGGUCACACCUGGAGAGUUUCCAGUACUGUACCAGUCUUGACUACAGGAGGGAGAGUCAAGCAGAGGUAUUCCAUCCCAUUCCUAGCUUGGGCAGGGGCUAGUUAGUGGAAGACAAUCUGCUCCAAGU